UUGUUGCAGCGAUGCUUAUUGCUUCUUCUUCAUCUUCAUCUUCUUCACGAUUCUUCUCUUCUUCUUCUUUAUAGUCUUCCCAUGGCUGCUUCUAGUUCCAAAAUCUUUGGAGAAAAGGACUAGAGCUCCCAAGGAAGAUUCUAUUGAAUCCUUUGAAUUGUUAAAAGUUUUUCAUCAUUUCAAUCUCGCCGUCGAGAGAAUUAUGAUAUUUAAGGGUUAGGGUUUCAAUCCUCGUGGAUUCGCGCCGAAAUCAAUUUGUUGAGUUCGAUUAUUUUCUCGGGAGAAUGAAGUUAUGCUGCUCCGAUCGAUCUCGUUCGAUUCAUCUUGAGAUUCUUAGCAUCGUUUUUGUUCCAAGCGAUGGAUCAUGAUACUAGCGGCAAUAAGUUUUGGCUGUCACCAUGGAAACGGUACAGAUGAAAAUAUUGAUUGCGCCUUAAGAGCAACUUUUCUAUGAUGAUGUCGGUAACAUCUAGUUUCUGCUCAUUGGAGGGUUUGAAGAAGUAUGUCAAGAAAUAACUAUUAUCAGGUCUUUCCCACCGUCUACAGAAUGUGGAGACGCCCAACAGAAUGUCGACAAGAUGCAACUGCUUAAAACCUGCUUGACGCCUGAGCAUUUGGAUAUACCUUUGGUGUUUCAUGACAUUCGUUGAUAUGCUGUGCAUUAUUUCAAGUUUUGUUGAUGUUGAACACAAACUUGCAGAGAAUAAACUACUAAAGAUCAAUUCCUUCAAGCCCUCGCAAUAACCUGCGUUGUCAUAACAAGUUGUGUUGUACACUCAUUAAAGAUCUGAUGCUUGAUGCAUCAAUGUCGCAGGACUCUAUUCUGACAGGAGCAGAUGAGUUAUUUCCCCUCCUCAGACAUGUUACAAUCAAAGCAAAUCCCUGCACAUGCUUUACAAUCUCAAGUUCAUCUGGUUGUACUGUUGGAAGUCUGAAACGGUCUCUGAGGGUGCUUAUUAUCUAACAAACCUUGUUUCAGCCAAGACGGCUGCUAGAGCAAAGAUUAAUAAGAGAAGCAAGUCCAGCUAACUAUCAAGUGAAUUACGAACAUCGUUGAGCAAGAAGAUCUGAACUACCCUAUAUGAAGGCAAUAGAGCGUGGGAGAGAUUGCAACUAUGUGCAACUAUGUAUGCAAGUAAAAAAGAGAAAAGCUUCGAUUUUCAGGUCAGAAACAGUAGCGUUCAAUGGCAACACCAACAGUUCAGAUGGAGGAGAUGGACAAUCUUUGGACUCAUCCGAAAGCUCUACACAGCACCAGAUGUUGAUUGCAAAGGGGUUCACUGUGCUGGACAGGUUCAAGCCUGAAGUUCAUAUGUAAAGGUUAAGAUUUAUUAUUCACACUGGAAACCAAGCAUCCAAAGCAGAAUAAAGGAGAAACAUCUCUUAAAAGUGUACCUGUAC